rnacentral:rRNA from 1 species
AAUCUUCCGCAAUGGACGAAGGUCUGACGGAGCAACGCCGCGUGAACGAUGAAGGUUUUCGGAUCGUAAAGUUCUGUUAUCAGGGAAGAACAAGUAUCGGAGUAACUGCCGGUACCUUGACGGUACCUGACCAGAAAGCCACGGCUAACUACGUGCCAGCAGACUCGGUAAUACGUAGGUGGCAAGCGUUGUUCGGAAUUAUUGGGCGUAAAGCGCGCGCAGGCGGUUUCUUAAGUCUGAUGUGAAAGCCCACGGCUCAACCGUGGAGGGUCAUUGGAAACUGGGAGGCUUGAGUGCAGAAGAGGAGAGCGGAAUUCCACGUGUAGCGGUGAAAUGCGUAGAGAUGUGGAGGAACACCAGUGGCGAAGGCGGCUCUCUGGUCUGUAACUGACGCUGAGGCGCGAAAGCGUGGGUAGCGAACAG